rnacentral:sRNA from 1 species
UCCAGUUUACUCAGCAAUAUAGGUACAGA